GACGAACGCUGGCGGCGUGCCUAACACAUGCAAGUCGAACGGAAAGGCCCUGCUUGCAGGGUACUCGAGUGGCGAACGGGUGAGUAACACGUGGGUGAUCCGCCCUGCACUUCGGGAUAAGCUUGGGAAACUGGGACUAAUACCGGAUAGGAACCAUCAUUAGCGUGGGGGAUGGAAAGUUUUUUCGGUGUAGGAUGAGCGCGCGGCCUAUCGGCUUGUUGGUGGGGUAAUGGCCUACCAAGGCGGCGACGGGUAGCCGGCCUGAGAGGGUGUACGGCCACCUUGGGCCUUAGAGCCGGCCCAGGCUCCUACGGGUGGCCGCAGUGGGGAAUAUUGCACCAUGGGCGCAGGCCUGAUGCAGCGAGGCUGCGUGGGGGAUGGAGGCCUUCGGGUUGUAGACUCCUUUCGCUAGGGACGAAGCUUUUUGUGACGGUACCUAGAUAAGAAGCACCGGCUAACUUCGUG
rnacentral:rRNA from 1 species